AUACGUAGGGGGCGAGCGUUGUCCGGAAUGAUUGGGCGUAAAGGGCGCGUAGGCGGCCCGGUAAGUCUGAAGUGAAAGUCCUGGUUUCAAGUUGGGAAUUGCUUUGGAUACUGUCGGGCUUGAGUGCAGGAGAGGUAAGUGGAAUUCCCAGUGUAGCGGUGAAAUGCGUAGAGAUUGGGAGGAACACCAGUGGCGAAGGCGACUUACUGGACUGUAACGGACGCUGAGGCGCGAAAGUGUGGGGAGCAAACAGGAUUAGAUACCCUGGUAGUCCACACUGUAAACGAUGAAUGCUAGGUGUAGGGGGUAUCGACCCCUUCUGUGCCGCAGUUAACACAAUAAGCAUUCCGCCUGGGGAGUACGGCCGCAAGGUUGAAACUCAAAUGAAUUGACGGGG
rnacentral:rRNA from 1 species